UCAUUGUCUCCAUGUUAAAGAUGAAGAAACUGAGAAUGGGACAUAAUAUGACUUGCCAACUAAUCAUCCUAAGUGCAUCAUCACUGGCGCUACCAGGAGGAGAAAUCCUGUUGCUCCUUGGUGUCGGAAGGAUGGGUAGCUUCCAGGGAACGUGUCAAACAGAGCCUUCUACUGCGUCAUGAACAAAGGUUCCAUGGACCCCUGAUUGCUGCUUGAGGAGAAUUGCCCUGUGGAUUUGACUGACCAACGAUUGUGAUAUAAGCAGAAGCUACGAACAGACUGUGUGGUCAAAAAUGCAGCAAGUGUGGACCUUGGAAUAUAAACUAAACAAUAUGACCUACUUUCAUGAACUGGCAAGAUGGAUUGGAGACUGAUCAAGCCUGUGCCCUCCUCUGUUGUUUAUGGAGCACACUCUUAUACAUGCAACAG